CCUCCCCAUAAGGUUGGAGGACUGGGAGAGUUUCUCUACCUCCUCCAAAUUGUUCAUCUCUUGCCGGAUCCAAUUCCCAAUCAUGGUGAUGAUGGAGGCAAAGUAGAAGAGAGAGAGAACGAUCCAGAGCAAGACAAGGUUCGUGCCAACGUGUUCACCAGUGCUCGUCAACAGCAUCCCGUACAGUGGGAUCCCCAGCACAAUAAAGAAGACGCAGAAAAUGCGACCCUCAUCUGAGAGCAGGAUCACGUUCCCAUAGCCUGGCCCAGACUUUGGGGUCAGCCUGGGCAGGGGCCUGUCCCACCGCUGCCUCCUCAGUGCUAGCCGCUGAGGUCCUGAGCCACAGGCCGCUGCCCCUGCCCUCAGGAGGGCCCCAACUGGCUACCCUGGAGAGUAAGGAGUCGGGUCCUGGAAGGUGCUGUCUGCACCAGGAACUAGAGGGAGGUGCUCAGGGGACUUUCUCUAAUUGCAUCCCCAGGUUAACUGGCCAGGGUCAGGGGAAAGGUGGAGGUGAUGAGCCCAGGUAAAGAAGGCAGGUGACUGCCUGACCGUGGGUAGGAAGAAAGCCCCUGAAGAGCCAGGGUUAGGGCCCUUUCUGUAAGUGCACCUUCCUCUCCCACUCUUCCUACUGGCCUGACUGGUGCUCUGCUGGCAACCUGCGACCCACUGGCCCUCCCCACAAUGCCCCUGCCCUACCCACCGACAGUGGUGACAAGGCUGCCUGCGAAGAAGAUGGCACCCUCUGUGGUCCAAGUUGAUCGGGUUUUGUUGGUGAAGUAGGCCCCGGGGUCCAUACCUACAGUCACAGAGGUGACCACAUUCUACAAGAUGGAAAGGAAGGGAUUAAAGGGGCGGCCAUGUUCUGCUCUGCUACUUCCUGGUCCUGCCUCUCACAGGGUCUGGAGUUCCACCAGUCCAAUGCCAUCUAUUUACUGAGGUCCAGACAAGAGAAUGGAUCUGAGGAUUGUCUUAGAGCCAGUAAAACCCCUCCUUCCCUCAUGAAUCCAGCUUCUCCCCCCAGAGCCUGGCUUCCUUCCCACCAAGCUCCAGGAACCUGAAGAUGGCGGCACCUAUCACCACGUAGGUUAGCACUGCCAACCAGAGUUCCAAGAGAAUGGAUUUUUUCAUGACACAGUCUGAAGACGGUCAGAGACCUCACUGGAAACCCAGAUUUUGCCCCAAAUCUUCUGGUCACUGUGAUGAAAAGCAUGGACCCUGGGGAGAGAGGGGGUGCUAUAAACAGAACCUGCCUGGUGCCAACUAUGCCCCCCAGUGACUCCAGUUUCUCUGAGUGUGCUUGCUCCUUGCCACUCUAGUUCCCUCUCAGAACCCCCUACUUUCUAUAUUUGCCCAGGGUCUCCGCCAUAGUCCAUUCCCCCCUUUAAGCCCUCCACAGAUGUCCACUCCUGGGCCUAGUCUCAUCCCUCUGAGCGUCUCCCUGCUAGGCUGUGCCCGUUUCCUCUGCCUCUCUUCUCCCCCCGCCUUCCAUCAGUCCUGUUCUAGCGGCUCCCUUAUAGGAGAGGGGCAGGGGAAGGGGAGAAGAAAUGCAAAGACCAGUGGGUGGAGAAAAGAAGCCACAUGGGCUGGAGGGAGGAAAGGAAAGCAGAAAGCUGGAGAGAGACCCAGAGGGGCAGGGAGGAAGGAUGCAGCUGAGAGGGAGGAUCCUACCACUGAAGGGAGAUCCGGCCAAGCCCCCAGCCCCAAGGCUCCCCGACCCUUCCUCCAGCGGCUGCCCCGCCCUACUCGAUAUCUGGAUGUGGCAUCCUCCAGCAGAUAAGGUCGGGCGCCCCAGUAGACCUGGGGCGGGAGAGGGGGCCCAGAACCUGGCCGAGUCGGGCACCGGGUCAGCCGGACCGCGCUAGCUCUGGGUGCCCCAACCCUGCCGCAGGAGCGGAGCUCCGCCGCGCCCAGGACUCCCGAUUCCUAGCCGCCUGACUUGGGAGGAACAGCAGCUUCGGGAGGGCGGGAUGCGGCCACGCUGGAGGUGCUCUCCAAGUUGGGGAGAAAGGGGAUGAAGUGGGGCUUCAGCGCAGCCAGAGCCUGCUACUUGGCGAGGGACGAGCUUUGCAGGUCUCCGUUAUGGGGCGCCACGGCUCCUGGGCGGGGCCCCGGGGCUUCCGGACGCGCUCCAGCUGUCGGGACCCCAAGCGCAAGGAUAGAUGGAGGUGGGGACAGACCGGUCAACGGGCCGGCUCCCUCGCGCACAAGCGUCGGCGCACGACCCCGGCGCUACAGUCUCGUGGGCUAUUCACGCUCACCGAGCGCCCCUUCUCUACUCUCGCCCCCCCUCCACAGCGAAGAAACUCUCCUUCCCUCCCUCCCCCAGCCUGGAUCGUCCCUGCCGCUUCCCCUUAGCUGCCAGCCAGCCCCUUUCUCUGCCACUCCGUUGCCUUGCCCAUGCGCUCCCCAGUCCCAGCUGUGAGCUGCAGCUGCAGGGGCCUGAGGAGAAACCAGCCUCGCCAGCCUUGCCUGCCCAGCUCAGAGGCAGCUAACUUCCCACUUGUCCCCCUUUGGGCCCCAUCGGGCUUCUCCAGGGCCAUUCAGCCACCGUCCUGUCUUCUGCCCCCAUGGAAGCUAGCCCUUUCCUUCCUGAGCUGGCCGGGGCUGACCGGCCUCCAGCUGUGCCCGCUCCACAGUGAAAGGGCUCCUGGAGGAGAGGACUCAGCAAAGGGCCUCAAAGAAUCGGCCAUUCCCUGCCCAGCCAGGCCUCAGGAUUCCUCCCAAUCUCCCUGGGCCCUCAGAGACAGACUAGCCCUUCUGUCUGGCAUUUUGGGCAGGGCUGCUCCAGGUCCAGCCUAGGACAGCAGGGUCCUGCGGGGAAGGGGAACACCCAGUGCAUUCAGAUCUUGGCUCUGCCAGCAUCCCCAGGAAGAUCACAUCCCAAGGGAUGGGUGGUCCCCCAGUCAGGCCAGGCAGGGAUGCCCCAGCAAAGGGUCCCCAUCCCAGCACCUCCCCAAUAGGAUGUGCAGGGGGUGCUGAGUCACCUGAGUGUCAAUGUGAUUAACAAAGAAAGUGGUCCUUCACCUGGCAGGUAUCUGAAUCUGAUUCUUCAGGCUGCAAGCCCAUAACUCCUCCCAUUGCAAACAACCUGCUUCUCCUGCUGAGCUGCCCUGGCACAUCCCUACUGGCCAUCCAAGGCCUCCUCACCCCUACCUACUUCUGGAAGCCCCCUUGAGACCUCUUUUGGUACUUCACUCCCUCUAGAUUGGAGAGUCCAAUUAAUGGCUUGUUGACUGCUCCCGCCCUGACCCACUGAUCCACAGCGUCCAGCCUGGAGGCCUCCAAGGCCUAAAGAAGCCAGGAUUUCAGAGGACUCCUCUGGGUCAAUCAACACCCCACCACCACCAUGGGGCCCUGAAGAAUGACAAGGCCUGGAAACACCUUUGACCCACCGUAUUGUUGGAAGCAAAUUUCUCUCUCCAGUGUCACUUUUUUUUACAUCAUCUUCCAGUGACCCAGAGGUCAAAUACCACUGAGUAAAUUCAGGUGUAGAUCAGCCUCAGAUAAAGGAAGUUUAAGAACCACCAAACUAAGGAAACAGGAAACAAUAAUUCCACAGGCAAAUUAAGAAACUAUGAUUGGUUCCUGAGAUGUGACCUGUCAGAGUUAGUGGGUGGGGAAAAGAGCUUAUAGGGUGAGACUAGCAGAAAGUUGAGGUCUUUGUGUGUAUGUGAACAGAGUGGACCCUUGCUGAAUUGUAGCUCCAGGCCCAUUAUGGAGGCCAAUAGAUUAGAAAGCUCAGUAUCUCUCUACCUCUCUCCUACUGUUCCCUCUCUUUACUACAACUACUUCUAUUACUUUUGAUUUAAUAAAGUUAUUAAGCUACAA